AUUGAACGCUAGCGGGAUGCUUUACACAUGCAAGUCGAGCGAGCGGCGGACGGGUGAGUAAUGUAUGGGGACUGCCCGAUAGAGGGGGAUAACUACUGGAAACGGUAGCUAAUACCGCAUACUAUCGGAUAACCCAUAUGGGAUUAGCUAGUAGGUGAGGUAAUGGCUCACUUAGGCGACGAUCCCUAGAUGGUCUGAGAGGAUGAUCAGCCACACUGGGACUGAGACACGGCCCAGACUCCUACGGAGGCAGCAGUGGGGAAUAUUGCGCAAUGGGCGAAAGCCUGAUGCAGCCAUGCCGCGUGUAUGAAGAAGGCCCUAGGGUUGUAAAGUACUUUCAGUCGGGAGGCGUUACCGACAGAAGAAGCACCGGCUAACUCCGUGCCAGCAGCCGCGGUAAUAC
rnacentral:rRNA from 1 species